rnacentral:sRNA from 1 species
AAAUUAAAUCCACACACGUUUCGACACGUUAUUCUGGGUGCUGGCUGGUGCUUUUUUGAAAGAGCUAAGGUUUGGUUGAGUAAUGGGAUUCGUGGAGGUCUAAC